AAUACCUAUAUUGCGUGAAGGAGGUUUAAUAGUAGGUGACGAUGCGUUUCCCCUGAAACCUUACUUAAUGAAACCUUCUGCGCGAUCACAAAGAUUGACAUAUGGACAGUCGAGUUCAUAAAUAUGUAUACAUUUUUUCUCCUUAUUGCAAAGGAUUAAGGUUAAGUACUGUAUACAUAUUUAUGAACUCGACUGGACAAAAGGUAUUUAACUACAGGCUUUCACGAGCUCGCCGAAUUGUAGAAAAUGCUGUCGGUAUAUUGGUAAGCCCAUUUAGGGUUUUUCGCAAACCAAUGUGCCUGGAAAUCGGCAAGGUGACCAGCAUCAUAAGGGCAGCAUGUGCUCUGCAUAAUUGGAUGAGGAGCACUUCUCAAAAUACUUAUACCCCAACAAACUCGUUAGAUUUUGAAGAUAUCGAUAAUUAUCAGAUAGUACGGGGAAAUUGGAGAGAUGAGAACGUAAAUAUUCAAAAUAUCGGGGCUCAAGGUAGCAAUCAUAACUCAGAAAUAGCGAAAGCAACUAGAGAUAAUUAUCAACAUUACAUUUCAGACGUCCUUCGAUGAUCACUUGUGUAGUCUCCCCUUUUCCAUCCCUCUGGCAUCACGGAUAUUUUUUAAAGCAAUUAAGCAGAAAAAAUAUAUGCCGAACAGUCCCACCUUUGCGGUUUAGUAUUUGUGGUCUGUCAACUCAUUCUUUUUUUCCGUGCGAAGGCGUCACAUCUGCAUCACGGUAAAAAAUAGUAAACAUGCCCAAAAGGAAGAAGGAUUCCGACGAAUACAUCCUAAAAAAGUUAAGAAAACUUGAAAAAAAGAUCGCGAAAAGAAAUCAUCGCAGAUUGAGCACUACAUCUUCAUCACCGUCAUCAGACUCGCCGGCACCGGCGCCGACGCCGCCAAUGGAGUCACAACAAAUAGAAAAUAUUGAAGAUGUAUGCGAUAAUACCGAUAAUAUUAAAGGUAAUCUAUUUCGCAUUACGAAAGCAGCGAAUUUAAAGCCAUUCACAAUUUAUCGUCUCAGGAUCGAUACGAGGGAUCGUUCAGUAGGCGAUAUGUGUGUAAGAUCGACACUGUGGGGUCGAUUUUUGGCAGUAAUCAGGUCAAGGAUGGACACUGGGGGGUCCUUCAACGACUCUGUUAUUGUCCUUAAAAAACGUACAUUGAGACGUUUCAAGGUCAAAUGCGGGCCGCCAUCUUAUGUUGCGCCCAACGAAAUAAUAUAUUUGGUUUCGAUACCAAGAAAUAUAUGGAACUUUAAUCUAAAGGGGCGACGGACAUUGGCUACUACUUUUGGCUGUUUAAUCAUAGUUCUCUACAGUGCUUGUUUUUUAUUUACCGUGUUUCAGACCCACAGCCUGAAAUGGCUUCAAUGGCUUACCAAGAUCUUAUAGACCAACGAGAGCUACUACUUGAUGUUCCUGAACAUGAUCUUGAUGAUUCUAUUUUAAAGGUCCUUGGUAACAGCCAUGAAAAACCACAACAAUGGGGCAAGAAAAUUCAUAAUCAGAUUGCUGAAAGGUGGGAGAGUGUGUUAAUGAAUGGUCUUGAUAAACAAGAAAAGGAAUACACGCUGAAGCAAAGCACAUAUCUACCACCGGAGAACUGCCCACAUCUUAUUGUGCCUAAAUUAAAUCCAGAAACGGCAGCCGCAUGUUCAGAACUUAGUCGCAAGAAGGAUGGAUAUAUUGAAAUAAGACAAAAGAUGCAAUGCUUAGUGCAAGCAUUAGUGGACUUGCCUGUGCUUUAGAAAAGGUGAUAAAUGAGGUAGAACCUAAUGAUGAGAAAUUACAACUUCUCAAAGUUAUAAAUAACACUGUGAAGAUUUUAGCCGAUACAUUCUACAAUGAAAAUAAAUCUCGGAGAAUGCUAAUACUUUCUGGAUUAGACAAGGAGAUAAGAGAUACACUCAUUGAAACUCAACCAGAUAAAUAUCUGUUUAGUGAAAAUUUAUAUGAAAAAAUAAAAACUGCUAAAACAAUGGGAAAAACUGGACGCGAGAUUAGAUUUCAACCAAAAGCCCCCAGGACAAACUUCCCAAAGCAACCUUCAAACUGGAAGGGCCCACCUCGGCAGGUACAGAGAACUCAGGAGCUUCGUGCCAUGAAACACCGCAGCAGUGGGCCUCGACCAGCUUCGACAAAGAGAACUUCAGCAUCCAACAAGGGUUACCGGAAGCAGUACUCUUCAAGUCACCAUCGUCAUCACCAGCGCUGACUCAAGUUGGCAGAUCUACUCCUUCAGAGGUGUUCCUGCCAAUGGCAGCCAGGAUCAGCUGCUCGUCUUCACUGAUCCCUGGUAUCUCUCUACCCCAUUACCAGUGAGGAAUCGAGCCCGGUUGGCUGCCACAUAGCUCCGCCUAGCCUUUCGGCUCAAGUCACGCCAAGUCUGUUGUAGGCGAUACUAGAGGCCGGAACCCCAUAGGCCUACAUGCGAACCUAUUCUCUAGUGCUCUUCGGCGAUCGACCUACGUCACCGGCCUAGAUUACCGGUGGAAGACGGUCGACACUUUUACCGGCUGCAAAGCUAGUGCACCCACAAAGACCUAGCUUGAGACCUAACCUCCGGGACACUAAUUCGGGAAACAAAUCAAUUACGCAUUGAAUUAUUAUUGUCUAAAAUGGGCACUCAAAUUAAUUACCAUUUACAAAAGUCUGUUACAACCGCACUGAGUUUAUAUACGUAAGAUAAAUCUAAUAACGAAAAACACUAAGAAACCUAACUAAACUAGCUUCCAGAACGUUCCCGAACAGAAUAACCUCGUAAUUAAAGUA